UGUUCUCUGGACUUGCCGAUGGUUUGGCUUAGUUUGCUUGUCCCAAAUUGCAACUCUCUGCCAUUCCUGAAUAGACCCAUUUUUGCUCUUAAAAUAACAGGCUUUUGUUUUCUUAAAGUUUUUAUUUAUUUGAGAGAGAGAGGAUGGGAGACAGAGAGAGACCAUAAGAGGGGGGAGGGCCAGAGGGUGAAGGAGACUCCCUGCUAAGCAGGGAGCCUGAUGCAGGACUCCAUUCUCGGAUUCCAGGAUCAUGACCAGAGCCGAAGGCACUCACUUAACCAACUGAGCCCCCAAAAUAAUGGGCAGUUUUGAGAUUAACAGCACCUGGUGAUCAGAAGUAGGAUUCAGAGAAGAUCCCCCCAACAACUCCAAGGCUGGUGAACAAACGAGUACUUACACCCAUUAGACCAGUUGAGGUCAGUGUGUCUUGCCACCUCUGGAGUCUGAGGAUACCUCCAGAAAGACUCUUAACCUUGCUGGAAAGGCCCUUGUCAAGAACUAUAAGCCAACCCUUGGGUUGCCAAGAGCCAGGGAGGAGACUCUUGGACUCAUCUAUAGUCAGCCUCAAACCAGAUGGACUUACACCCCCAUCUGGGGACCUGAAAGAUUUCCAGGACUUGAAGCAGGCGACAUGCGACAAGACAACUUUUUCCAGAUGUCCGACCAAGGCCUGUCUGACUUCCUCUCAUUCUUUGCUUCUUUGAUGCCUUUUAUGAAAAGAAAAUGAUCUUGUCCAUAUUUCCCAAUCUCUUGUGAAAGGGGGGGAAACUCUUACUUGGAUUAUGGCCUUUUGAAAUCAGCAUCAUCUGGAUCCUGUACACUUUUUGGAAGGGUUAGAAGGUUCAGAAUUCACAAAAGCCUUUCCUUCAUCUGAACUCUAAACUGAAUUUGGAUUCUUAUCCAUAUUCAUGGUUUCUGAAUUUGCAACCUGAGAGGCAGUAUUAUUGCUAACACAUUUGUUCUCAACAGUUCUUUUGAUAUGACAGUACUGUUUUAGAACAUCUUUGAAGUUU